GAAUAAAUAAUUAUAUAAAAAACAAGUAUAAUAAAAAUUAUCUUUCAUUAAUAAAAUAACAAAAAUAACAACUGAAAGACCAAUUUGAAUUCUAGAACAAAGAUUUGGGGUAAAAUCAAAAAUAAAAUAAAGAGGAAGGACCAAACUGUGACUCGUGCGAAAGGAGGACAAAAAGGAAAAUAUCCCAGGCCUUCAAAACGCUCAACUUCGAUGGGGACUAAAAUGAAAAAAAAUAAAAUUAUGCGGUUGAAUUGAAAUAAAAGAAAAAAAGAAAAAGGGACAAAUUGCAACGCGUUGCAAAAGCGGAGGGACCAUGCGCGCAAAUAUUCCUUUUUAAGAAAACACGCGGAUCCUCCCCCGGGGUCGGGUCACCGCGCGGGUUUAAGGCAAAACGGCGUCGUUUUGCGCCUGGAGAAGUCACCCAAAACGCUAUCGUUUCGUAUCUUCUAUUUAAGCCCCAUUUUUAUUUUUUUUAUUUCUUUCUCCCUUAUUUUAAAAAAACUUCAAAAAUCCUCUCAAGGCCUCUCAUCUCUCAAACCCGCACCCCGCUCGGCCUAGGGUUCCGGCCGUUAGCUGACAGUUGCCGGCGCCGGCGUUCGAAAAAUCAUGAAAAUUUGCACUUCUCUCCUGUGAGUCAAAAAAUUAAGCUGUCCCCUUCUCUUUUUAAUCUUUAUAUUUUUCAAAAAGAAAAAUCUAGAUCUAGGAUAUAUUUCGAAAUAAAACAGAAAAAUGAAGAAAGAAAGAGUCAAAUCGCAAGGGAAAGAACCUCCGUCUUCGCCUCGCCCCCAGCCCUCGUCGGAACCUGAAUGGGUUUUAUGACAUUUGGGUUACCAGAGGCUCUCGACUUGUGACGGAGGAUCGACCGAAGGUGAGUUUUUAUUUAUUUUUUAUUUAUGUUUUUAUUUCGGAUAAAAUAAAAGAGUAAAAGAGACACCUUUGAACUGUUUGCUUUUGAUUUUUUUUCUUCUUGUAUUCGAUUUUUUUAAAAAGAAGGCUCUCCCUUACAAUAUGUUUUUCGUGGCCUUUAUAGCCACUGAUACAUGAUUUUAUUACUGUUUCUCUAUUACUGUUUGUCCACUGCUUCCUUCUUUUUUUUUUUGCGCUGCUGUUGCGUGUUUGCUUCACUUUGCAGGGUGUCAAGCAGUGGAGGUGGUUGAAGCAGAGACGUGACACGGCAGAAGAGGUGAUGGGACGGUGGCAGAAGGGCAGAAGGCCCUAGGUGCGGGUUGGAGUUUUCUGUUUCUUCUUUGUGUUGGGCCAUUUGGGCCGUUUAGGUUUUGUUCAGGAUUGGGUUUGUAAUGGGCUUGUUGGGCUGAUCUGGUUUGUAAUGGGCCUUAGCAGUUUGGGCUAGAGACUUUGGGCCUGUUGAGUCAACAUUGUAAUUGGGCCUCUGUUUUUUGUUUUACUGGUAUGAGCCCGGGCAAAUUUGGGCUUGUACAAUUAACAAUAAGCUAAAUUAACUUUACAAUCUAAUUCUUUCAUAUUCUAAGCUUAAAAUCUAUAAUUACAA
rnacentral:lncRNA from 1 species